GAUGAACGCUGGCGGCGUGCCUAAUACAUGCAAGUCGAGCGAACGGACGAGAAGCUUGCUUCUCUGAUGUUAGCGGCGGACGGGUGAGUAACACGUGGAUAACCUACCUAUAAGACUGGGAUAACUUCGGGAAACCGUAGCUAAUACCGGAUAAUAUUUUGAACCGCAUGGUUCAAAAGUGAAAGACGGUCUUGCUGUCACUUAUAGAUGGAUCCGCGCUGCAUUAGCUAGUUGGUAAGGUAACGGCUUACCAAGGCAACGAUGCAUAGCCGACCUGAGAGGGUGAUCGGCCACACUGGAACGGAGACACGGUCCAGACUCCUACGGGAGGCAGCAGUAGGGAAUCUUCCGCAAUGGGCGAAAGCCUGACGGAGCAACGCCGCGUGAGUGAUGAAGGUCUUCGGAUCGUAAAACUCUGUUAUUAUGGAAGAACAUAUGUGUAAGUAACUGUGCACAGCGUGACGGUACCUAAUCAGAAAGCCACGGCUAACUACGUG
rnacentral:rRNA from 1 species